GACUCCUACGGGAGGCAGCAGUGGGGAAUAUUGCACAAUGGGCGCAAGCCUGAUGCAGCCAUGCCGCGUGUAUGAAGAAGGCCUUCGGGUUGUAAAGUACUUUCAGCGGGGAGGAAGGUGAUGAGGUUAAUAACCUCAGCAAUUGACGUUACCCGCAGAAGAAGCACCGGCUAACUCCGUGCCAGCAGCCGCGGUAAUACGGAGGGUGCAAGCGUUAAUCGGAAUUACUGGGCGUAAAGCGCACGCAGGCGGUCUGUCAAGUCGGAUGUGAAAUCCCCGGGCUCAACCUGGGAACUGCAUUCGAAACUGGCAGGCUAGAGUCUUGUAGAGGGGGGUAGAAUUCCAGGUGUAGCGGUGAAAUGCGUAGAGAUCUGGAGGAAUACCGGUGGCGAAGGCGGCCCCCUGGACAAAGACUGACGCUCAGGUCGAAA
rnacentral:rRNA from 1 species